rnacentral:lncRNA from 1 species
CCUGACUAUUUUUAGAACACCUACUUAAAGUUGAAUGGGGAGAUCUGUCCAUUUUUAGAGCUAAUCACCAAAAGUAUAAACAUCCCACUUAUUCAUUAAGUGGGAGGUCUGUGACCCACAUGUGCAAUAGUGGGUGAUGAAUAAGAAUCGACUGACUCCUGGGCAGUACUAAGCAAGGCUUUAAACUAUGAUUUGUCCACAUAAAAAGUGGAGGAAGACACAGGAAGUGAUGUGAGAUAAAGUGUCUUUAAAAGGGAAUGACAACUUCCUGAAGGAGUUCUAUUGGGACUUCAUUCUUUGGAGUGGAGGUUGAAGGAGAAAUCUGCUGACUGGACCUGAGACCCUAUUCCUGAUGAUAUUGUUGGACUGACACAUGAAACACUGAAGACUGCAUUACUCAAUAACUUACAAGCUGAAACUCUUUCCAGGCUUGCUUUCACAAGAAAAUGGAUAUUUUUCAAGCUGAACUCCUUAUGGCAUGGACUUGAGGGCCAUUAUCAUUCUCUUUGCUCUUCUAUGGAUGCUCUCCAGUUUGCCUUUAAAUGAGACUGCUGCCACACUCUCUGAUACUGCUAAAAGGAACUUCAGAAAUGGAAAACCUUUCUGGACAUCUUUGAAAAACUUCCACAGAACAUGGUGCAGCCCAGACUCAUGGUUGGUUAGGAGGACAAAGUCAGUGUGUAACCCUUGUGUCAGGAGUUUUCACAUGAUCUGGAGGAUUCUCAUGCAGACAUUUGCAGCCCAUUGCAAAUUGAGAACAAGACUUUUAAUGUUUUUCAAAUGAAUGAUAAGGGAAUGAAAUCUGAGAGGGAGGAAGAGUCAAACCCUGUCUUUAUUAGAGGUAAUUUGAAAAGGCAUCUUAUGAAGAUGUUUGGGACAUGAGUGUCUUCUAUCAUGCUGGUUUUAGUUGUUCUUCUCAGAUUAAUUGACAAGUUUGGACAGAUGAGUAUCCCUAAGGGUACUUUGAGCAACAUUCUGAAACUAAUGUAGUUCAUCUUCUUGGGUCUUGUUAUGAGGACUGAGAAGUGGAAAAAGGGAUCUUUCAAUAAAAUGUAUGAUUGCCUGGAUACUAAUAUGGUG